rnacentral:rRNA from 1 species
GACGAACGCUGGCGGCGUGCCUAAUACAUGCAAGUAGAACGCUGAAGGAGGAGCUUGCUUCUCCGGAUGAGUUGCGAACGGGUGAGUAACGCGUAGGUAACCUGCCUGGUAGCGGGGGAUAACUAUUGGAAACGAUAGCUAAUACCGCAUAACAGUAGAUAUUGCAUGAUAUCUGCUUGAAAGGUGCAAUUGCAUCACUACCAGAUGGACCUGCGUUGUAUUAGCUAGUUGGUGAGGUAACGGCUCACCAAGGCGACGAUACAUAGCCGACCUGAGAGGGGGAUCGGCCACACUGGGACUGAGACACGGCCCAGACUCCUACGGGAGGCAGCAGUAGGGAAUCUUCGGCAAUGGACGGAAGUCUGACCGAGCAACGCCGCGUGAGUGAAGAAGGUUUUCGGAUCGUAAAGCUCUGUUGUAAGAGAAGAACGAGGGUGAGAGUGGAAAGUUCACACUGUGACGGUAUCUUACCAGAAAGGGACGGCUAACUACGUG